AUGAACGCUGGCGGCGUGCUUAAUACAUGCUAGUCGAGCGGUAACACUUCGGGUGACGAGCGGCGGGACGGCUGAGUAACGCGUAGGAAACCUACCCCAAACUGAGGGAUAAGCAUCAGAAAUGGUGUCUAAUUACCGCAUGUGCUCUACGGAGUAAAGCUUCGGCGGUUUGGGAAGGGCCUGCGUAUGAUUAGCUUGUUGGUGAGGUAAUGGCUCACCAAGGCGACGAUCAUUAGCUGGUCUGAGCGGAUGAUCAGCCAGACUGGGACUGAGACACGGCCCCAGACUCCUACGGGAGGCAGCAGUAGGGAAUUUUCCACAAUGGACGAAAGUCUGAUGGAGCAACGCCGCGUGCAGGAUGAAGGCUUUCGGGUCGUAAACUUGCUUUUCUGGGGGAAGAUUAUGACGGUACCUUCAGGAAUAAGGGUCGGCUAACUACGUGCCAGCAGCCGCGGUCAUACAGUAGGACCCAAGCGUUAUCCGGAAUUACUGGGCGUAAAGAGUUGCGUAGGUGGCAUAGUAAGCAAAUAGUGAAAGCGUGUGGCUCAACCAUAUACACAUUAUUUGAACUGCUAAGCUUGAGCAUGAGAGAGGUAGCUGGAAUUCCUAGUGUAGGAGUGAAAAUCCGUAGAUAUUAGGAGGAACACCGAUGGCGUAGGCAGGCUACUGGCUCAUUGCUGACACUCAGGCACGAAAGUGUGGGGAGCGAACGGGAUUAGAUACCCCGGUAGUCCCACGCCGUAAACGAUGGGAUGCUAGCUGUUAUCAGUAUCGACCCUGGUAGUAGCGAAGCUAACGGCGUUUUAAGCAUCCCCGCCUGUGGAGUACGGCCGCAAGGCUAAAACAUAAAGGAAUUGACGGGGACCCGCACAAGCGGUGGGAGCGUGUUGUUUAAUUAAUAUCGAGGAUAAGCGAAGAACCUUACCAGGGUUUUGACAUCCCCUACUAAGAUUUCCGAAAGGAAAUUGUGCCUUCGGGGCCGUAGUGACAGGUGAUGCAUGGCCGUCGUCAGCUCGUGUCGUGAGAUGUUUGGUUAAGUCCAUCAACGAGCGCAAACCCUUAUAGUUAGUUGGAUUUUCUCUAGCUAGACUGCCCCCGGUAACGGGGAGGAAGGAGGGGAUGAUGUCAGGUCAGUAUUUCCCUUACAUCCUGGGCUACAAACACGCUACAAUGGCCGGUACAAAGGGCAGCCAACCCGCGAGGGGGAGCAAAUCCCAUCAAAGGCCGGUCUCAGUUCGGAUAGCAGGCUGAAACCCGCCUGCUUGAAGCCGGAAUCGCUAGUAACGGUAGGUCAGCACACUACCGUGAAUACGUUUCCCGGGUCUUGUACACACCGCCCGUCAAACCAUGAAGGUCGCCAAUACCUGACGUCUGAGCUAGUCUCGGCCUAAGGUAGGGGAGAUGAUUGGGGUU
rnacentral:rRNA from 1 species